UGGGGAAUUUUGGACAAUGGGCGAAAGCCUGAUCCAGCAAUGCCGCGUGUGUGAAGAAGGCCUUCGGGUUGUAAAGCACUUUUGUCCGGAAAGAAAUCCUUGGCUCUAAUACAGUCGGGGGAUGACGGUACCGGAAGAAUAAGCACGGCUAACUACGUGCCAGCAGCCGCGGUAAUACGUAGGGUGCAAGCGUUAAUCGGAAUUACUGGGCGUAAAGCGUGCGCAGGCGGUUUGCUAAGACCGAUGUGAAAUCCCCGGGCUCAACCUGGGAACUGCAUUGGUGACUGGCAGGCUAGAGUAUGGCAGAGGGGGGUAGAAUUCCACGUGUAGCAGUGAAAUGCGUAGAGAUGUGGAGGAAUACCGAUGGCGAAGGCAGCCCCCUGGGCCAAUACUGACGCUCAUGCACGAAAGCGUGGGGAGCAAACAGGAUUAGAUACCCUGGUAGUCCACGCCCUAAACGAUGUCAACUAGUUGUUGGGGAUUCAUUUCCUUAGUAACGUAGCUAACGCGUGAAGUUGACCGCCUGGGGAGUACGGUCGCAAGAUUAAAACUCAAAGGAAUUGACGGGGUCAUAGCUGUUUCCU
rnacentral:rRNA from 1 species